UACGAAGGGGGCUAGCGUUGUUCGGAUUUACUGGGCGUAAAGCGCACGUAGGCGGAUCGUUAAGUCGGGGGUGAAAUCCUGGAGCUCAACUCCAGAACUGCCUUCGAUACUGGCGAUCUUGAGUCCGGAAGAGGUGAGUGGAACUGCGAGUGUAGAGGUGAAAUUCGUAGAUAUUCGCAAGAACACCAGUGGCGAAGGCGGCUCACUGGUCCGGUUCUGACGCUGAGGCGCGAAAGCGUGGGGAGCAAACAGG
rnacentral:rRNA from 1 species